UCUCGAUUGGUCUAGUGGUAAGGAUACCUGCUUGUCAAAAACUAGACAGUGGUCUAGUUUCCGCGCUACUUUGUCGUGGAACAUAGCAAUUCGCAGGUGGCCGGGGUUCGAUUCCCCGAUCGAGAG